rnacentral:lncRNA from 1 species
AGAACAAAAUCCAAAAAAAUUAAAAAGAGAACAAUAACAUGAAAAAGAACAGAAAAAUAAAAAGAGAUAUAGUAAAAAAAAGCAGAGAGAUAGAGAUGAUAGUCUAUCUUCUCGGUGGGGGUCCACAACCGCCAAAUUAAAAAGAUGACGGCCACCGACCGUUCCUAGCGCAAGUGGCAAAGGGCUUGGUGGUUGAUAUCCGAGCUUCCCAGUUCGAAUCCUAGUUGAUUCACAUUUCUAGCUAAAUUUAUUUAUAGAUGAAAUAAAUGAAGCGGGUAGCGUGCUACGUAUCUCUCUCUCUCCCAAAAAAAACAAAGAUGACGGUCCAGCUUUUCGGUGGAGCUCAUACGCCCAAAUAUAAAGAGAUAACUGUUCAUCUUCUCAAAAAAAUGGAGAAAAAAAAGAAUCUAGUCAAUUUUAAAAAAUUAAUUAUAAAAAU